UCACCACAGACUUCAUGUGUGAUCUUGGAUAAUUUGUCUGGAAUCUCAGUUGUCUAUAAAAAAGGCCAGAAGAAAGGAAUUUUGAAGCAGGCCUGGAAGGAGGACCGUUGAGAUGAUGUGGCCAUCUUAAAAGACCUCACCUCCUGGAGUCACGUCUAUAGCUUCCCAAACCGUCUACAGAGUUGCCAGCUUUUGCAAUUUUUGGUCACUUGCAUUAUACAAAUGCAACAUGUUUGCAGCAG
rnacentral:lncRNA from 1 species